GCCCGGGUGGUGGAAUGGUAGACACGGAGGACUCAAAAUCCUCUGCUCGCAAGGGCGUGCGGGUUCGAAUCCCGCUCCGGGUA
rnacentral:tRNA from 1 species